GCUCAUCUCUCGCCGGCAGCCUCCCCCCGGGCACCUGAUCAGCGGAAAGAUGAACCCCACCGUGGGCAUCGCUGUCAUCCUGACAGUGCUCCAGGCCGCCCAGUGCCAGAUGAUCAAGGACCUGAGCGCCUGCCUGCUGGGCCAGAGCCUGCGGGUGGACUGCCGCUACGAGAACAAAACCAGCAACCCGCUGACCUACGAGUUCAGCAUCACCAAGGACAACAGGAAGCACGUCAUCCACAGCACCAUCAGCGUCUCCGAAAACGUCUACCGGAGCCGCGCCAACGUCACCAUGCACAAGAACCUGGUGUGCCUCUACCUGCAGAGCUUCACCACCAGCGACGAGGGGGUCUACAUGUGCGAGCUCAAGGCCACCAACGACUACACUGGCAACCAGAUAAAGAACAUCACCGUCAUCAAAGACAAACUGGAGAAAUGCGCCGGCUUCAGCCUCUUGAUCCAGAACACUUCGUGGCUCCUGCUGCUCCUCCUUUCCCUGCCUCUCCUGCAAGCCGUGGACUUCGUGUCCCUGUGAAAGGAUAAAAAAAAAACAAACAACAAAACAAACCACCCCGCGCCCCCCACGGAGCACCCCAGCCAACCCGCCUCCCCCGCCAGAGCGCAGCCCUCGGAAAGAGCAGAUUUGGAAGAAACGAAACCUCUCUCUAUGUUAUCUAUGUAGCCGUAUAUCUAACGCUAGCCACCGUCCUGUGCUGAGACCCGCCGGCACGCAGCGCGCGCACGCCCCGCUCCGAAGCAUGGUGGCUCCGCUAGGCAGCGUCGCUUCUCCCAUCACACCCACCCCCUUGUGCUGGUUUUGCUGGGGCACCAGAGCCUCAGCCCGCUUCUCCCACCCCUUUUCUUUCUUUUUUUUUUUUUUAUUUUAUAUAUUUUUCCUUGGCCUGUUCUCAGCUGGGGAAAGACAGCCGGACGAGCAGCCGGGUUGGAAGCGAGGCCCCCAGACACCGCCUUGUGCCCUGGGGCUGCCCGAGCCCGGGCGCCCCCCUGGUCCUCCCCAGGGACCAGUCCUUAGCUGUGACGAGAGAAGUGCCGCCAGCGCCCGCAGCGGAGGCCCGCGGAGCCUCUCCGAGCUAGCCACAGCCUGGCCAGCGCCCCGUGCCCCCAGGUGGGGAGGGGGCUCCCCCAGGGGACCGACCACUCCCCCACCCGAGCUCCAUGGGGACGUCUGGGGGGUCCCCUGUCCUUCCCUGUGGCACGCGCCCCCCUCUUUCUCCAGCCUCCCCAUGCCGCAGGGAGGAGCUCCAUGUGUCCCCCCCUGCCUCCCCGCUCCCUUCUCUCUACUGAAGUGAGGAAAAAGGGGGCGAAGGCAAGCCCAGCCCUUGGCCACCGCCUCAAGAAGGAUGUUCCCAGGGGUCAGCGAGAGUGGAGAGAGGGACCCCAAGCACAGCCCCAGCCUUGUCCCCAUGCCCCGCAGGACCUCAGGAGCCUUCGGACCAGGAGAAACCACGAGGCUGGCCCUGCGCAACCCAACCCAGGAGCGAGCAGGGGGCUGGGGAAGGCAGUGACGGGACCACCUGGCUCUGUGGGGUCAACCCGAGCCCUGCUGAGCUCCCCAGGCUGUGCCACGACGGCUGAGAGCCCUUCCCAGCGGCUGCUCCCUGCUCCUCGCUUUCCUCCGGACGCCGCGAGCUGCCCCCCACCCCGCUGCCCCAUCCUGCCCAUCCCUGCCCCUCUCGCUGCCUGCUUGCUUGCUGUCUAGUGCUGCCGAGGCCGUGCACGGCGGAGGUUCGGCUCACCCCGCUCCCCGGGCUGGUUUGGAGCUCCCCGGGGAGCACCAGGGCAGGGCAGAGCCCGGCCGACCGCGCGGACGCAUUCUCCGGUCUCAUUUAUUUUUUUUUUUUGGUGAACAUUUGUAGUUGUUUCCACAGCUUGUCGUAAAAAGAAAUUCUGUUCAAAGGAGAAAAAAAAGAAAAAAAAAAGAAAAGAAAAGAAAAGCCAACCCUACGAAAAGCAACAAGAAGAAGAACAAAACCACCUGUCCUCCAGGAGUUUUCCUCCGUCUGCACAAUAAAAGCCUAGGUCGUGUGUUGGAGCCGUGGCCACCCGUGUGUGUGUGGGGUGGGGUGGGGGGCUACAGGGG
rnacentral:lncRNA from 1 species